UAUAGCAACACUAAAUGGACUAAGACACCCUCCAUGAAGAGAAGAGCCGCCCUAGGCAUUAGAUGAUUAAAGUCUCUAAGAAGCCCUGCAGUAAAGAAACAGGCAUAGCUGAACAUUCAGCUCUGGCUUUCUGUAAUGUUGUGAUUUGGGCAGAAGGUGUGGAAGCUGCCUACUUACCUCUCUACAGGAUCUCUGCCCAUGUAGAGCUCAUCUCAGAGUGGAUGCUGUGUGUUUUGUUUUGUUCUUUUCUUUCAGUAAGACUGUGAGUUUAUCACACUUUAUACUCAUUUCCCUUGUUUAGUCGCAGGUGAUUCCAGGGCGAUUUCAAUUGACGAUGCUUUGAACAGAUUCUCCUAAAAAUACACAAAUCCCGCUGUUAGGAGCUAAGCCACUUCUAUUGCAUUUAGAACCAUAUUUGAUAACUAGUUUGACAUGGUGACUCCUGUCCUCAAGGGACUUUUUGCUCAAGAGUGCAGUGACUAAAGAGUUCAAAUAUUAGAUGCCCACUUUUUCACCAGUCUUUGCCAGGUUUAAUUCUAUUUAAUGGGUGUUGAAUAAGACUUUCCCAUGUGUCAGGCACUAUGCUAGAUGCUUAGGGUACAAAAUGUACUAAUAAACUGUUCCUGCCCUAAAGAAUGUCUCUUCUGACUCAGAGCAUAACAUAUUAUUUUAACAUAAUUCUGCGAGUGCUGAAACUCUGUUAUCACCUGCACAUAAGCAGGAGAUGGGGAGGCACCAGUUGAAGGCGCUUAGCGGAGAGGAAAGGGAGAACCUGGGAUGAAAGUUAGUUGAAAGAUGCAGAAAAGUUACCCUGAGAAUAAAGAUAGCAGAAAGAAAAUCUAAUUUAACUUUUUUUUUUUUUUAAAUACACUCUCUGCCAGCAACUCUUUCUGUAAGGUCCUAAGGGUUCUAAGACGAAUACGGCCCACUCCCUCCCUUCCAGGACUUUAGCUGAGGUUGGUUGGAGCUGAAGUCGGGCAAGACUCAUAGGAACGGAUGAAGGGAGAGAGAAUCCAGAGGCAACGUGAAUUCCAAGUAUAGGUUUCAGACAGGCGGGAUCAGCAGCAGCCCUACCAGUGUUUGUGCAGAACCCCCAGAGCUGACACUGGUGACUGUGACACGUGACCUGGCACCCCCAGGUGGGUGGGCCCCAGGUGAGUCCACCUGGGCUCCAGCCAAGGAACCUGCCUCCAGAGGUCAGAGGUUGUGAUGCACGGUGCCGAUGGACUCAGAAUUCCAGACUCGGGACACAAGGGAAGAUGGAAGGCAACUGUGUAAAACAAAGAGGCAGCAGCAGGAAGGUCCCAGCGAAAGCAGAUUCACUGGCCAGAAUUCCCAAAAGCCUCUCUGCAGUGUGGUUCCCAGACCAGCAGCAUCAACUCACUUGGGGACUUGUUAGAAAUGAAUCUGCCUGUCAGUGAGAGGCCCAGGGGUUCCUGUGCUUGACGGCACUGCACUAAACAAAGCUGAGCCUUUGCCAACUCCUCUAGGUCUCUACCCACUGGCUAAGACUCCGUCAAGGGCACAUAGGGCUGGAGUAUUAUACAGUGAGCAGAAGAUAUUUGCAACUUAAUAGUGUUAAGGAGUAGUGUUAGAAGCGGGGGAACGAAGAAUAGUGUUAAGGAGCGGGGGAACGCUGAUUUUUUUUCUCUGUCUCUCUUGUAUAUUAUAUCAUAAGAGAUCUGGACUCAGAAGAGAUUUAAGUUUCAAACCUGGCUUUGUCAGUUAAUGCUUGUGGGAUCUCAACCAAGUCACCGACUUCUCUGAACAUGCUUCCAUAUUUCUACAAAGGAAACAAUAAGUGACUCUGCUGAGUUGAGCACUUGCAAGUACCAAGCAGUGAGGACCUGAGGCACGGAUGCUAAUCAGCUUGCUGGAGAUCACACUCAUGAGUGGCAGAGUGGGUCUCGAAACCAGGCAGCCUGGCUCUGGAGCCCACACUCCAUCCACACACCAUGCUGGGACCCCAUGGAGUGACCAGCAGACUGGUUGUGUGGGUUAGGUGGAACGGUGCAUAUAAACCACACAGCCCAGCUCCUGACCCGUGCUGGGCCCUCAGUAAGUUACUACUUUCAUUAUUAUACAUGUGUAGAUGAAAGUUGGGGGGGUAAUAGUGAUUUUCCCUAAGAUGAUGGAAUUUUAGGUGCCUUUGCCUUUUCUUACCUGUAUAUUCCUGAAAUCAACGUGUUCUGCUUUUGUCACAAGAAGAGAGGAAAUAAUUGUCCUUUUUUUUUGA